rnacentral:rRNA from 1 species
UACGGGGGGAGCAAGCGUUGUUCGGAUUUACUGGGCGUAAAGGGCGCGUAGGCGGCGUGACAAGUCACUUGUGAAAUCUCCGGGCUUAACCCGGAGCGGCCAAGUGAUACUGUCGUGCUAGAGUGCGGUAGGGGAGACUGGAAUUCCCGGUGUAGCGGUGAAAUGUGUAGAGAUCGGGAGGAACACCGGUGGCGAAGGCGGCUCUCUGGGCCUUACCUGACGCUGAGGAGCGAAAGCUAGGGGAGCGAACGGG